GACGUAGGGCGCGAGCGUUGUCCGGAUUUAUUGGGCGUAAAGAGCUCGUAGGCGGUUUUGUUGCGUCGGCUGUGAAAUCCCCGAGGCUCAACCUCGGGUCUGCAGUCGAUACGAGCAAACUAGAGUGUUGCAGGGGAGACUGGAAUUCCUGGUGUAGCGGUGAAAUGCGCAGAUAUCAGGAGGAACACCCGUGGCGAAAGCGGCUCUCUGGAACGGUACUGACGCUGAGACGCGAAAGCGUGGGGAGCGAACAGG
rnacentral:rRNA from 1 species